rnacentral:rRNA from 1 species
AUCCUUUGGUUUUGGGGAAAAUAGAAGACAAGUGGACCUUCUAAUACAUGCUAGUGUGCGCUCCCCCCCAUGGGAGGAGCCUGCCCGCGCACAGGUGAGGAAACCCGGCUACCCCACCCCCAGGCCUUGCCGGGGGCUGGGCCGGAGACGUAUUAGGUAUGAGGGCGGUAUUAAAGACCCACCCUGCCGAAGAUGCGUAACAAUCAACCCUGAGUCACACUUUCACUGAAACAAGGGGAAGGCUCAUUAAGUCCGUCAGGGACGAGGCAGCAGUAGAGAAUAUUGUGCAAUAUACGGCAGUAUGACACAGAGAGCACACGCCCUCUUGGCCUGUCCAACUAAGUGCCAGCAGACGCGGUUAGACUUAGGGGCCAAGCCUUUAUGAGCAAAGGGGCGUAAAGGGUGUGUAGGCCGACCGCCCCACCCCCCCCAAGGUGGUAAAUGGAAUUUUUCUGUAGCGGUAGAAUGUGCGGAUAGAAAAUAGAACCCCAAAAGCUGAAGCAAUUUACCGCGGGGCGGGAGGGGGGGCCCCCUGGGGCGCCCCCCCGGGCUACGGGCUGAAACACGAGGGUGUGGGGAACAAACAGGAUUAGAGACCCUGGUAGUCCACACUGUAAACGAUGGAGAAAAUGCGAAUGCAGCCCCGAAAGGCAGCAAUCUCCCGCCUGAGUAGUACGAUCGCAAGAUUAAAAUUCCAAAAAUUUGGCUGUUCACCGUUUCGAUUAGAGGAGCGUGUAGUUUAAUUCGAUAAACCGCGAGAUACCUUACCCAAACUUGAAUCCUUGAGGAUUCCAAGGAAUCCUUAUGGACCGGUAUUGCAUGGCCGUCGUCAGUUCGUGUAUGAAACCUUAAACGGACCCAACCCGAGGAUUAGCCGCGGAUGAAGUCAGGUCUUAUGGUCCCAAUGUUUGGGGAUAAUAUGCGCUACAUUUUCUUAUACAAUGGGAAACCUGGGAGGUGAAACCCAAAAGUGAGAGUUCGGUAGGCUAUUGGAAGAUGGCCGAAAGUUGAAUUUAAUAGUAAUCGGAAAGUAUAGCGUUCCGGUGAAAUGAUCUAGGUGUUAGCACAAAUCGCCCGUCACCUUAACUUAGGAUGAUGGUUCGGACGCCGCCGCGCCCCCCCGGGCCCCGGCGGUUACGGGCCCCUACGAAGUUAAGCAAGUCGUAACAUAGUGAGGGGAGGGGAACCUCCCCUUG